GACGAACGCUGGCGGCGUGCUUAACACAUGCAAGUCGAACGGAAAGGCCCUGCUUUUGUGGGGUGCUCGAGUGGCGAACGGGUGAGUAACACGUGAGUAACCUGCCCUUGACUUUGGGAUAACUUCAGGGAACUGGGGCUAAUAUCGGAUAGGAGCUCCUGCUGCAUGGUGGGGGUUGGAAAGUUUCGGCGGUUGGGGAUGGACUCGCGGCUUAUCAGCUUGUUGGUGGGGUAGUGGCUUACCAAGGCUUUGACGGGUAGCCGGCCUGGGAGGGGAACCGGCCUCAUUAGGACUACGGUACGGCGCAGACUCCUACGUGAGGCAGCAGUGGGGAAUAUUACACAAUGGGCCGAAGCCUGAUGCAGAAACGCCGCGUGCGGGAUGACGGCCUUCGGGUUGUAAACCGCUUUCGCCUUUGCCGAAGCGUGAGUGACGGUAAUGGGUAAAGAAGCACCGGCUAACUACGUG
rnacentral:rRNA from 1 species